CCUACGGGUGGCUGCAGUGAGGAAUAUUGGUCAAUGGACGAGAGUCUGAACCAGCCAAGUAGCGUGAAUGAUGAAUGCCCUAUGGGUUUUAAGCUUCUUUUAUAUGGGAAUAAAAUGUUCCACGUGUGGGAUUUUGUAUGUACCAUAUGCAUACGGAUCGGCUCACUCCGUGCCAGCAGCCGCGGUAAUACGGAGGAUCCGAGCGUUAUCCGGAUUUAUUGGGUUUAAAGGGAGCGUAGGUGGAUUGUUAAGUCAGUUGUGAAAGUUUGCGGCUCAACCGUGACAUUGCAGUUGAAACUGGCAGGCUGGAGUACAGGAGAGGUGAGCGGAAUUCGUGGUGUAGCGGUGAAAUGCGUAGAUAUCACGAAGAACUCCGAUGGCGAAGGCAGUUCACUGGACUGCAACUGACACUGAGGCUCGAAAGUGUGGGUAUCAAACAGGAUUAGAUACCCGUGUAGUC
rnacentral:rRNA from 1 species